rnacentral:misc_RNA from 1 species
AAAAAAACCAUGGCUAAGAGUUUUCAGCAAGCUUGCAAGAUCAACGAUUUGAACAUUUUUACCAGGUAGAGAGCGUGCAGUCCAGCUUGAUGCAGGGUUGAAACGUACAUGCUUGCAUAAGUUAUUAAGAAUUACAUAAGAUGGAUAUUAAUCAUAUUUACAAAUGAACCAUAUACAGUUAAUUCACAAUUCCAACAUAAAUUCCCCACGUGACGAUGAUGUGGGCAACUUGUGCUACUUUCUACUAAAUGACCUGUACGAUGUCCACCCACUCCAAGGAAGUGGCAGCAUCCAAGCUGGGUCAACUAAUCAAAUAGAAAAUCAAAAACAGCUAAAUUGCCAUCAGAGGAUUGCCAUCAGAGGCAAAAAUUAUCAACCCUUGUGCAACACUUAAGUUUGAGCAAAUUAUUUGGCUUCUAAUCAGCAUUGUUAUUCAGCAAUAACUAACAAACAAUAUCAUCAUUGAAAUGAAUAUGACAGAAUGUUGAACAAACACUUGCAAAAAACAAGAUUUUAGUGAUAAUUAUGGAGAGAAGUCCAAAAUGGUACAAUACCCAUGGUAAUCUAGUUGGAUUCUAAACAUGAAAUAAUCUUGAACAAAAAAUAGCAAACUCAAACAAAAGUUUGGAACAGAUCACAAUUGACCUUACUUUAGUUCCACUUCGGCUACGUUAGGAUAGGUUAGGAUUUUCAACAAAGAUGAUUGAAAUAUAAUUUUCAAAUUCACCCUCGAAGAUUUGUUGAAAGAAUAUUUUUCUUUUUUAUGAGUUUAAAUCAUUAUUCACACAAGAAUUAUUAAACCCAGACUGGCCCUCCAGGUUGACUUGGCGAACCAAUGACUCAAGCAUCAAACCGGUCUGAGUUUAAAAUUAAACAGGAUGAGGAAUUGAAACACUAAAAACCAUUCUACCCAUUUUUUGUCAACCCAUGUGACCCAACAGGUUGACAUGAUUAAUAAAAGCUGCCACAUCAUCUUUAACAAAAAAAAAUAAUUUUGAGUGCGAGUAACUAGUAAGGAGAUUUGAACCCAAGAUCUCAUGAGAUGCAAAUCCCCACCACCUUUUCAUUGUUAAAGGCUAUCACAGUGGAAGAGAAGAAGUCAACUCCCACAUAACCAGAUAAAGUCAGUGAUUGAAAUAGGGAAGUGAAAAAAAGAUGGAGCUAAGGGACAGGAAGACUUUUUUGUUGUUCCUAUUCCUUACCUUAUCAUACUCCUUAUUUUAGAUCAAUCAAUAUACCUUCCACCGAUGGCUUGCUAGCAAGCAGGCUUGUCUUUGUUGUAUUGGAAGAGACCCCCUUUCCAUUUCAAAUCUUAAGAAAACAAAAAUUAUGAAACCAUCAGGUCUGUCAUCUCUACUCAUUUGAGUGUGUGAAGCAGGUUGCAAGGAUGGGAAAGAAGAAGAAGAAGAAGGGUGCUAGGCUUCUCCCGACCAAGGGGAGAAGCUUUUAGCCAGAUUAAAAAUUGGUCUGUUAUGAACAAGAAUUGGGAUAAGGCUAAUAGAUAAUCGGAUAGUUAGGCCAACAGAUCACAUAGGGGAUCCCCCAAUCUUUCCUCAAAUUAGGAUCAUACUCCCUAGUCGUCUUGUGCCACUUGGGACCUGGUCAAGGGUGGUAACUGAUUGCCCAUCGAUGGAAAGAGGACAUCGUCUGUGGAAUACAAACAAAAUCGACAACCAAAGGGCAAAGUAACCCUAUGAAAGGAGGUAAGGUCCGAUAUACACACACAACCUAACGAAUGUUGAAAAUUUAAUUAAAAAAAUUAAAAAUCAGUCAAUUAAACUUAUUUAUUUAUAUUAAUAAAUGUACUAUUUAAUUAAUUUUGUUAAUGAUACACC